rnacentral:tRNA from 2 species
UGAGAUAUAGCCAAGAGGUAAGGCACUGGACUUUGACUCCAUAAUUCGUUGGUUCGAAUCCAACUAUCUCAGCCA